ACACAGGUGACACAGGGGUGACAAUGAGCUAACACAGGUGACACAGGUGACACAGGUGACACACAGGUGACACAGGUGACACACAGGUGACACACAGGUGACAUUACCCUGGAGCAGGGUGUCACCACCAGUGACUCCAUGCCGGUGCGGGGGGCUCACAGGGGGUGACACAGAGGUGACAAUGAGGUAACACAGGUGACACAGGUGUGACAAUGAGGUAACACACAGGUGACACAGGUGACACAGGUGUGACAUUACCCUGGAGCAGGGUGUCACCACCAGUGACUCCAUGCCGGUGCGGGGGGCUCACAGGUGACAAUGAGGUAACACAGGUGACACAGGGGUGACAAUGAGGUAACACAGGUGACACACAGGUGACACACAGGUGACACAGGUGUGACAUUACCCUGGAGCAGGGUGUCACCACCAGUGACUCCAUGCCGAUGCGGGGGGAUCACAGAUGACAAUGAGCUAACACAGGUGACACAGGUGACACACAGGUGACACACAGGUGACACAGGUGACA